rnacentral:rRNA from 1 species
GUAGGUGGCAAGCGUUGUCCGGAAUUAUUGGGCGUAAAGCGCGCGCAGGCGGUCCUUUAAGUCUGAUGUGAAAGCCCACGGCUCAACCGUGGAGGGUCAUUGGAAACUGGGGGACUUGAGUACAGAAGAGGAAAGCGGAAUUCCACGUGUAGCGGUGAAAUGCGUAGAGAUGUGGAGGAACACCAGUGGCGAAGGCGGCUUUCUGGUCUGUAACUGACGCUGAGGCGCGAAAGCGUGGGGAGCAAACAGGGAUUAGAUACCCUGGUAGUCCACGCCGUAAACGAUGAGUGCUAAGUGUUAGGGGGUUUCCCGCCCCUUAGUGCUGCAGCUAACGCAUUAAGCACUCCGCCUGGGGAUACGGCCGCAAGGCUG